AUGAAUCAGUCUUUUCAUGGACCACAAUGGUAUAUCUUUGCCUACUAGGCAAGAUGAUAACAAGUUACAAAUUUGUCUCGUAGGAUUAGAUGCCCCUGUAUUCUCAAAUGUAAACGAUGGAUAUUAUGCACUGUGCGUAUCGACCCGUGCAGUGCUGUAGCUAACUCGUUAAGUAUCCUUCAUGGGGAGUACAUUAGCAAGAAUGAAACUCAAAAGAAUUGGCCGGGGACCCGCACAAGCGGUGGAGCAUGUGGUUUAAUUUGAUGCAAAGUGAAGAACCUUACCAAGGCUUGACAUGCCCCGAAUCCUCUUCAAAGAGAGGGGUACCUUCGGGAAUGCAGACACAGGUGCUGCAUGGCUGUCGUCAGCUCGUGUUGUAAGGUGUUGGGUUAAGUCCCACAACGAGCACGACCCUCGUGUUUAGUUGCCACCAUUGUGUUUGGAACCCUGAAUAGACUGCCGGUGAUAAGCCGGAGGAAGGUGAGGAUGACGUCAAGUCAUCAUGUGCCUUAUGCCCUGGGCGACACAUGUGCUAUAAUGGCCAGGACAAAGGUCGCGAUCCUGCGAGGGUGAGCUAAUUCCAAAAACUCGUCCUCAGUUCGGAUUGCAGGUUGUAACUCUCCUGCAUGAAGCUAGAAUCGUUAGUAAUAGCCGGUCAGCCAUACAGUGGUGAAUUCACUCCCGGGCCUUGUACACACCGCCCCAUCACACUAUGGGAGCUGGCCAUGCUUGAAGUCGUUACCUUAACUGUAAGGAGGGGGAUGCCGAAGGUGGGGCUAGUGACUGGAUUGAAGUCGUAACAAGGUAGCUGUACUGGAACAUGUGACUCGAUCACCUCCUUU
rnacentral:ncRNA from 1 species